UUCUUUCAUAAAGUUUUCCUCUUCUUUCUCCUCAUUCCUCACUCUUUUUUAAGUUAUUGGACUCAAUGUUCCAUUUUAUUUAUUAACAAAUCUGGUCCAUAAAGUCCAAAAGAAAUAACAUGAAAAAAAAAAGAAAAAAAGAGCUGGAAAAGAAGUGGUCAAAGCCGAUCCAACAAAGAUCAGGUCAGACAUAUAAAAAGACUAGACAUAUAAAAAGACUAUCUGAUAGGAUUUCCUAACUUGAUCCUCAUUUUAUGUCUCUUUGCCUACUCCGCCAUUGAGGAUAUCGCUGUUGUCUCUCCCAAAUGAUCGUCUUCGCUUUCUCCUGUUGUGGGUGAUGAACUAUCGCUAUCAUCCUGCUAACGUGUGCUUCAUUCUCACCUUGCAGAAGUAAGUACACCUUCAUAUCUAACUUAUGCCUUUUUAUUCUCUUGAAGGUGUGUAAUCCGAUGGAAGUCUAUGAGUUCGGCUGAAACUUGAAAGAGAGUUUGAACCUUGCAUCCCAGCUCUGUAGCUCUUUCUGAAGCAGAAGUGGAGAAAAACAAGUUGCUCACAGCCUCCUUUUUUUUAGAACUCUUAGUUGGGUACACGCUCUUAUCUGCAGAUCUGGUUCCUUGACUCUCGCUUUUUGCUAGUGAACCUUUUUGUUGGCUGAUGUAGCUUAGACUAGUUAGACCUUCCCCACUCAUUCUCUCUGUUAUUUUUCACCAUUUUUUAUCCUUCUUCUUCCUCAUUCUUUGUCACCCUCCACCACCCUCGACCGACACACAAACUUUUGAUAAAUUUUACAAAUUUUUGUUAGGUUACACUAUUUAUUCCAUCUUUCAUUAAAUUCAAGUUUAUUUUGUUAAUCCAUCAUUCAACACUAGUACCAAAUAUACAAUUUGCAUCUAAGUUAAAAAAAUUUCACAUACCCAUUACAGUUUAAGUUUUGAAUUGACAAACCCAAAUUCAAAUAUAGCAAAAAUCAGAAAUCAAGAGAACCCAAAAUUCAGAAGUAGAAGAAAAAACAGAAAUCUGAAAAAUUAAUAGCAUGAAAUUGUGUGUGUAAAAUUAAAUGAAUGGAUUUUAGGUGGUGGGUAAGAAAUUGGGAUAGAAGGCGAAUUUGGGUAUGGGAGUGUUGGAGAAGACUUUAUGGGGUGGUGUUGGAGAAGAUGAUUUAGGAUGUGUGUGUAUGUUGGAGAAGAUUUUUUUUUUUUUUUUUGGGGAGAGGGGGGGCACAAACAUGAACAAUUAAAUUUGAUUAGAUAGGUGUGAUGAUGUGUAAUGAGAUAAAUUUAGAUGCAAUUAGGUGCUGGGAUGAUAUAAUUGGACCUGACCUAACACCAAGCAUAAUUAGAUGCCCACUACAAAAUAGCUCUAAACGCUUCAAACCUAAAAUCUUACCUACAGUUGAGCACAAAGUGAGAAACAAAACCAUUCCGUGAGGUUUAAUAUCUGGCUACGUGACACUAAAAAACCAUUCAUAGAUGACGCAGAUGCCAAAGAAAUAGGUAGAGCCAGCACAUUUUCGUAAGACUAAUAAAUCCAAAUGACAUUAUUUGAUGCGAAAGAGACGUACAUGAUGAGAGAAAUGGAGACAAAAUCAACAAGAGAAAAUGGAAGAUAGUGAACAAAUUUGUAUGAAGAAAAAUAACGAAGAAAAUAUCAGAUGCAAAAUCUUGAUUGAAAUGAGUUAUGGUUGCUCAAGUCCUAGAUGUUACUACAAUAAAACCUUUUGGGUUUUAGAUUAGAGAGAGAGAACAUCAAACGAAGCAAACAGAUUGAAAAAAUUGCACAAAAACAGCAAACCAACCACCGCAGCAGGGAAUAACAACCAAAUCAACGAGAGAAACUGAUUGGGUGACAGAGUGACAUACAACAAAAUCACCGCAGAAAACAGCUCGUACAAGAAUUAUAUGUAGCCGUAGUCUACUACACCUGGCACCCCACCCACAGUGUUCAAUACAUGAGGCGACAUGAGCCAAACCAAAAAACAACAAACUGCAGCCACACUGCUCUGUUGAGUGUGGACUGAUAAUUUGCUAAAAUAUGGACAGAACCACUCAGAAUUCAAAUAUAAAUCCAGGUAAAGAGGUCAACCGCAGGACAAGACACCACAUUCCAAUAGCAGUGCAGGGAAAACUCAACAUGAAUCACAACAGAGAAGAAUAGUUCAACAAGCACAGAGAAGAGGAGAAGCAGCAUGGGUUAUAGUACAUAAACAUGUUCAGAUUACAGUUACUGUUUAGAACAAUUACUCCAUUAGCAGCAUAUAAGUAUCUUCCUUAGUCUACACAAUAGUCACUACACAAUAUAGGUUGCCCAUAUGCACAAAAACAUCUUGAAUGCCAGCCUAAGAAAAGAAAAGAUGCCAAUAUAUGAUCUAGCUUUUUGUCCCAUUCAGAGUACAAUUGCUCACCAAAAUAAUCCGUGAAUCAGGAUAUCUUCGCCCUAGAGAAGUCCAUCCCCGGAUUCUGCAGAUCAUGAACAAAAUCGAUUAAUAUGAAUACUCUUCAAGGGAGGGGGCAGGAGAAAAAACACAUGAUUAUGAAGUACCUGAGCCAUAAAUUUCUUUAGAACCUCCUGCUUUUGUAUAUCAUCGCUUGUUGGACGACCCAUUGAUUUCUGUCGCUGAUCAAACUGCAGAAGUAUUAUCCAUCACAGUGUCACACUAUUAGAAGGUAUCCAAUUCAUAAGUACACCAAGAAAGUCAGUUCCUGUGAAUAUGUACUAGUGUGGAUAACAAAUGACUCAUGAUAUAGAGGAUAAGCACAAAUUAUGCAGAACCUACCACGUCAGCGAAGCUAGAAACUUCCAUAUGAAUAACAUAAAUCAGGAUUGACUUAGCAGAAAUACGUUAAAAAAAGAAGUGACACCAGAAUUCCAAAAUUAAAAAGAGUGUUACCAUAGUAGGACAAUUUUCAAUUUCAAUAAAACCCUACCAUCAUCUUUUCGACAGCAGAUCUCGUCUCUGGGUCCAAGUCUGAUAGCCUGCUACUUUCAGGUUCAACUUUCUGAGUAUUGAGUUCAGGUUCACCUUUCACCACACACUUCCACCAAUCCAUCUGGUCCUUCUUGGUAAGCAGAACACAGACGGACUUCUGAUCCUCUUCAAAGAUGUCAACAACAGUUAGUUGUCGAUCUUAUGCUCCUCAAAGUAAAGCUACAUUAGCUGUUCUUGCACAGAUUAUAUUAAGUUUAUAUUACAAACUAUUGGAUUAACAGGUACAUGCCCAUACUUUGAAACCAUGAAUCACAUUGAAAAUAAACCAGCAGGGUACUAAUAACAUCAGAAAUGAAUUUUCAAGCAACCAUGCAUCAAAACAUACAAGCAACUUACCUAAGCUCCAAAAACAAUCGUCAACUUUGACAGGUUGAUAGAGUUCUCCCUCCAAGCACAAAGAGGAUAAAUGUUAAUAUCCAGGCUCAGAAGGAAAUCAUACAAAAUCUUACACAUUUUGAAAGGAAUGCAGCAAAAGAUAUCUUUGGAUGACUAGAAACAAGAGAAUUCACUCACAUCAAUUAUUGGAGGCUGACCCUUUAGUCCGACGGAGUAGUUGUCCAGAUCAAGACCAUUGCCUAUGUUGGGAGCUGCAUAUAUAUCAGCAGGAAGAACGAUAAGCUAUUGGUGAUACAAAACAAGCAAGGUUCUACAGAAACAUCAAUGAACAUAUAAAGUUGGCAUAUGAUGAGAACAAAGAAUAUCAAAGUGUAAAAUGGAGUUAAAGGACCUUCUAGGAAAAAUAUAAGCAGUAUGCCACAUGCGUACACACAUACACAACUCAGGAAAAGGUAUACUAGUUCAAGAUGAAUAUUGUCAACCUUUGAUGACAUAAACAUACAAGACCAAGUUAUGGCGACAAAUGAAGGACACAGCAAAAGAAAGCCACAACACUGACCCUUCAUCAGCAGAUUGGCACAAUGCAAAUGAAACCCACAAGAGUCCUCAGCUAUCAAUUUCCACAUUCCCAGAGAGCUAAUGCAUAUUAUUUUUUUCUUUGAUCAAACUAUAGGAUAUACUGUUUAUCAGAAAAUUAGAAUCAAAACAUACUUGAUAAU